rnacentral:lncRNA from 1 species
UGUCGUUGACACGGUGAAUAAAGAAGAAUCUUUGGCUGCUCCUGACCUCAGCAAACCAAGAGGUGACUUAUGCAUGCCAGCCGUCCAUUAAUAACCACUAAAAGUCAUUGGUAGAGGCCCGACCAAUGACGACGUGCUUCACCCGGGUGCUUGAUGCUACAGCAGUGACUAAGCCCACCGUUCUGCACUGCCUUGUAAAACGGAUUGCCUAACCUUCCCUCGGCUCUCACAGAAUUUUUAAAAAUCCUACAAAGAGAGAAAAAAAAAUAACACCUACCCUUAAGUUAGGCCUUGGUUUUCUUUAAAGCACAGCAACAGAAAGGUGGCCUUUGCUUACCGUUCAGAAUGACCCUCAGCCCUUUGAAAUGAGAACAAAGAUUGUCUGUUACAGCUCGUCAUGACUUUUUCUAACCUUUAUGUGGUUAUGCGUCAUUUGAUUGAGGGACAUGGUUUGUUUCGUAGCCUGUAUUAAAAUAACUCACUGUUUUAUCCAUGGCUAAUAAAACCAAUAUAACUGUUACUGCUACCUUUACUACUGAAUUUAACAUGUUAAAGGCUAUUUUUAUUAUUUUUAGAUUUGCCUUAAUUAGUAUUUCUGGAGGACAGGCUGCACAAAGCCCAGUGAUGUUUGGAAUUUCCCCCAGUAGAGACCUUCAGUUUGAAAGCCCCUUACUAACUUCCUGUACCGCCUUCCUAUGGAGCAGGGUCAGCAGUUACAGAAGGAAAGUUGAAGUGUGGUUAGGGUUGUUUAUUGAAAAAGAAAAAAGAAAAAUCCUGCAUGCGUUCUAAAAUGGUACAGCUGCUUCUGUCGGAACUCUGUUGCCUUGAAUUUCAGAAAUGUACUAAAACCACAAGUUCACAUUCCGGAAAUAGUCACUGUGUUGGGGUGGGGUUUGCGGGGCGAGUGACCGGCUUGGGAUGAAUGCACACAUACUUCUGUGUCUUGUGCCUGAUACACUGAGCUCCCCCCCCCACCCCGAGGCAUAGAAGCUAAGAGGAACAAACUAAAAUCUUGUUUUCUUUUCUACCAAGGGUACCACUGGGAUACAUCAGACUGGAUGCCCAGUGUUCCUCUGCCAGACAUACAAGAGUUCCCCAAUUACGAGGUUAUCGAUGAGCACACGCCCCUCUACUCAGCUGAUCCAAAUGCCAUCGACACUGACUAUUACCCUGGGGGUUAUGACAUUGAAAGUGACUUUCCACCCC